rnacentral:rRNA from 1 species
UACGAAGGGGGCUAGCGUUGUUCGGAAUUACUGGGCGUAAAGCGCGCGUAGGCGGCUUUGUCAGUCAGGGGUGAAAUCCCGGGGCUCAACCCCGGAACUGCCUUUGAUACUGCAAGGCUUGAGUCCGUGAGAGGAUGGUGGAAUACCCAGUGUAGAGGUGAAAUUCGUAGAUAUUGGGUGGAACACCGGUGGCGAAGGCGACCAUCUGGCACGGUACUGACGCUGAGGUGCGAAAGCGUGGGGAGCAAACAGG